GAUGAACGCUGGCGGCGUGCCUAAUACAUGCCAGUCGAGCGAACGGACGAGAAGCUUGCUUCUCUGAUGUUAGCGGCGGACGGGUGAGUAACACGUGGAUAACCUACCUAUAAGACUGGGAUAACUUCGGGAAACCGGAGCUAAUACCGGAUAAUAUUUUGAACCGCAUGGUUCAAAAGUGAAAGACGGUCUUGCUGUCACUUAUAGAUGGAUCCGCGCUGCAUUAGCUAGUUGGGAAGGUAACGGCUUACCAAGGCAACGAUGCAUAGCCGACCUGAGAGGGUGAUCGGCCACACUGGAACUGAGACACGGUCCAGACUCCUACGGGAGGCAGCAGUAGGGAAUCUUCCGCAAUGGGCGAAAGCCUGACGGAGCAACGCCGCGUGAGUGAUGAAGGUCUUCGGAUCGUAAAACUCUGUUAUUAGGGAAGAACAUAUGUGUAAGUAACUGUGCACAUCUUGACGGUACCUAAUCAGAAAGCCACGGCUAACUACGUG
rnacentral:rRNA from 1 species